GUUGCGCGCCCCCCCCCCGCAUCACAAGAGCUCAUACUGCCGUAGGUGCAUCCUCUGGAUGAUGUCGCGGCAGUCGCUGAAGACCCGCCGGAUGUUUUCCGUGUCCACAGCGCAGGUGAAGUGGGGGUAGCAGUAAUGGCGUCCGUCCCCGCUGGCUGUGCUGAUCCUCUGCGGGGGAGAGAGGACGACGUCGAGAAGUCAGACAACUGCUUUCUAUGCAAAAUGGUAAACUGGACCUGCAUUUUGCCUAUCCUUUAUUUUUUUUGUGACACCUUUUCCAUAAAAGAACGUUGGCACUUGAGACCUCAAGCUGGCAAUCCAAAAAUUGCAAGCCAGUCUCGUAUCAGUCAGUGUCUGUGUCCAGGAACGGCCUGCUGACUGCUAUGGCCGAACACCGCCGUGACGCAGACAGAGCAGAGACAAGUGACAGCUUCAGUGAUGUAAACAGGGACCUCCCAAAUAAAUGCAGGGCUGGACUUUUAGAACAGUUUGGAUCUGUAACUAGAAUACAGCCCAAAUAACAUUUCUCCUCAUUUUAGCAAAAUUUAACUCUGUCUCUGCAUGAUUCCUUGCUUCUCGUCUGUUUUAAUAGAUGUCAUCAGUGUUUGAACCUGACAGUAUCUCAUUCAAAGGGGACCUAUGAUCAAAACGAUUUUUUUUUUUAGUUAGUUGCUGUUGAAUAACUUAGUCCUGGGGUCAGCGACGUGUGGCUCCUUAGCGCCGCCCUAGUGGCUCCAUGGAGCUUUUUCAAAAAUGUAUGAAAAUGGAAAAAGAUAAAGAAAAAAAAAUAUAUAUUUUGUUCCGAUAGGGUUUGUGUAGGAGGACAAACAUGACACAAACCUUCCUAAUUGUUAGAAAUCCCACUGUUUACAUUGAGUGAAGUGAAGUAUAUUUAUAUAGCGCUUUUCUCUAGCGACUCAAAGCACUUUUACAUCGUGAAACCCAAUAUCUAAGUUACAUUCAAACCAGUCUGGGUGGCACUGGGAGCAGGUGGGUAAAGUGUCUUGCCCAAGGACACAACGGCAGUGACUAGGAUGGCGGAAGCGGGGAUCGAACCUGGAACCCUCAAGUUGCUGGCACGGCCACUCUACCAACCGAGCUAUGCUGCUUCACUGAUGAUACUAUUUUGCGUGCGCUAUUUUGUCCUACUAAUUUUGGAAGUCCUUGAACGCACCGUAGUUUGUUUACAUGUUAAAGUUAAAGUACCACUAAUUCACUCUCUCACACACACACACACACACACACACACACACACACACACACACACACACACACACACACACACACACACACACACACACACACACACACACACACACACA